AGCAUGUGGUUUAAUUCGAAGCAACGCGAAGAACCUUACCAGGUCUUGACAUCCCGAUGCUAUUUCUAGAGAUAGAAAGUUACUUCGGUACAUCGGUAACAGGUGGUGCAUGGUUGUCGUCAGCUCGUGUCGUGAGAUGUUGGGUUAAGUCCCGCAACGAGCGCAACCCCUAUUGUUAGUUGCCAUCAUUCAGUUUGGGCACUCUAGCGAGACUGCCGGUAAUAAACCGGAGGAAGUGGGGAUGACGUCAAAUCAUCAUGCCCCUUAUGACCUGGGCUACACACGUGCUACAAUGGUUGGUACAACGAGUUGCGAGUCGGUGACGGCGAGCUAAUCUCUUAAAGCCAAUCUCAGUUCGGAUUGUAGGCUGCAACUCGCCUACAUGAAGUCGGAAUCGCUAGUAAUCGCGGAUCAGCACGCCGCGGUGAAUACGUUCCCGGGCCUU
rnacentral:rRNA from 1 species